UGCAUAAUGGUUAAUGUAGUU
rnacentral:piRNA from 1 species